rnacentral:rRNA from 1 species
UACGUAGGGUCCGAGCGUUGUCCGGAAUUACUGGGCGUAAAGAGCUCGUAGGUGGUUUGUCGCGUUGUUCGUGAAAACUCACAGCUCAACUGUGGGCGUGCGGGCGAUACGGGCAGACUAGAGUACUGCAGGGGAGACUGGAAUUCCUGGUGUAGCAGUGAAAUGCGCAGAUAUCAGGAGGAACACCGGUGGCGAAGGCGGGUCUCUGGGCCGAUACUGACGCUGAGGAGCGAAAGCGUGGGGAGCGAACAGG